rnacentral:rRNA from 1 species
AUUGAACGCUGGCGGCAGGCCUAACACAUGCAAGUCGAGCGGAGCGGCGGACGGGUGAGUAAUGCCUAGGAAUCUGCCUGGUAGUGGGGGAUAACAUCCGGAAACGGGCGCUAAUACCGCAUACUAUCAGAUGAGCCUAGGUCGGCUGAGCUAGUUGGUGGGGUAAAGGCCUACCAAGGCGACGAUCCGGAACUGGUCUGAGAGGAUGAGCAGGCACACUGGAACUGAGACACGGGCCAGACUCCUACGGUAGGCAGCAGUGGGGAAUAUUGGAGAAUGGGCGAAAGCCUGAUCAAGCCAUGCCGCGUGUGUGAAGAAGGUCUUCGGAUUGUAAAGCACUUUAAGUUGGGAGGCGUUACCAACAGAAUAAGCACCGGCUAACUUCGUGCCAGCAGCCGCGGUAAUUC